rnacentral:lncRNA from 1 species
AUUUCAAUCGCAUUGAAUGUCGACACCGAAAUAUGAAAACAAUAAAUUCAGCACACCGAAAAAAAAGCAUUAAUUUGAAAUCAUGAAACAAACCAUUCACAUGGACUCAAACGUAUCAAUAAGUUCAAAGGGUACCUUUGUGUGUGAAAAUUUGUGAAUUAAAAAUUUGAUCUCCAUUUAAUAUGAUAUUUGAAAAGUUUGUGUACAUAU